ACCCCUGGCCGCCUCGCCGAUAAGUACGAGUCUUUUGCCUUUUACUGAAGACUCCCAUGGCCAGGCAGUAGUGCCCACCACAAUUUUUGGAAUGCUGACUAGCUCAGCUU
rnacentral:snRNA from 19 species